CAUUCCUGCUCGUUUCUUCAAAAAUAAUUAUCUGAUUAAAUGUGCCAAAUGUGAUUUUCAUUUUUCCGUCCUCGUCGUCCUGGUAAAAGUGCAGUUAAAUUGGCAGCGACGCAGCGCCGCCGAGCUCUGACUGGAAUCGUAAAAGGAGCAGGCCAGGCAGUCAGUUUGAACCCAGAACCGGGCGUUCGGGACCGGCCGGGCUCAGUCACGGACAGCGGGGGCUCUGCGCGCUGAUCACAACACAGAAAUCAUCCAGCAGGCACCCUGGCACCGCAGCGAGGCGGGGCGGGGCUGGGCAAGGAGCAGCUACGGAAACGCUCCGCAGUUCCCAGCGGUCUCCAGCCCCGGGAAAGGGCAAUGGAUUCCUCAGGAAGCAGCUGCCGCGCUGGACGGGCUGCGAUGGAAACACUGGACAUUGGCAGGGGCUGCUCGGGGAGGUGUGCAGGUGUCCAGGGAGGGACUGGACUCUGCUCUGGUGACGAGGUGGGAUCGGCCACAGGCUGGACUCUGUGGUACUGGAGGACUUUCCCAGCCUCCCUGCUCCUGGGAUUCCCACCCUCGCUGCCAAAGCCCUUGGAAAGAAGAAGGAGGAGCCGCAGGAACUGAGGUUGGAACAGAGCUCGAAGACCACUGAGUCUAACCCUGCCCAGGCCACCACUGCCACAUCCACAUCCUCCGGGAACGGGGACUCCGCCGCCGCCCUGGGCAGCCGUGCCAGCGCCUGACCACCUUUCCCAGGAAGGAAUUCUCCCUAAAACCCAAGCCGGAGCCGAGCGCUGAGACGCGGCAAGUGACGGGAGCAUCUCUUCCUCUGCACCCGUACAACAGAGGCCGCAGGAAAUGUCAGAGGUGCUAAUCAGGUGCUAAUUGUUGUUUGUUUAUCCCUCUGCCGAACCCCUCCGAAGCAGCCGGGAUGAACCCGCCGUGAACUUUCCUCGCAGAGAACGCAACCCCCGGCUGGGAUGCCAGGGGAGGCGCGGGCUGGGAAAAGGCCCUCGUGUUUGUGUUCCCCGCGCUCCGCAGCGAGCCCUGGAGAAAGCGCCUUUCCAAAGGCACUGAUAGGCAGUCAGCUCCUCCGGGAGAACGGUGUGUUCCCAGCCGAGGCGUGUUAGGCUGAGAUUUAUCACAGUUUGCGUUUCAGAACUCCUGGCUCCCUUCGCUUUCCCUGCUUUCCGCAGCCUCAGCUGCCUUCGCUGCUAUUCCGAGCGCUGCUUCCCCGCCGAGCGCGCUCGGGUCACAGCGGGAGUGGCACAUACCUGUGGAUUUCGGGAUGCGUGGGAAUGCCGCGGCUCUGAGGUGUGACAAUCCCGGGAGGAGCGGAAUGGGGCUGCCUGGAACACUUCCAGGGCUGGGGCAGCCACAGCUUCUCUGGGAAACCUGUGCCACCCUCACAGCCGGGAAUUGCUUCCCGAUAUCCCAUCUGUCCCUGCCCUCUGGCAGUGGGAAGCCAUUCCCCUUGUCCUGUCCCUCCGUGCCUUUUCCAAAGUCCCUCUCCAGCUCUCCUGAAGCUCCUUUAGGCACUGGCAGGGGCUCUGAGCUCUCCCUGGAGGGCUCUGGUGCCCUUCUCCUGUGUGGGCACCUCGCGCCCUCCUCCCAUCACACACCAGGUAACCUGGACCUCCAGUUCCAGCUGUUAGCCACCGGCUCUCCCAGCUCUCCGAGCUCCAGAGAAAAUCCCAAGGUAUAAAUCCAACUGCAAAUCCCUGUGAUUGCCCGGCUCCCGGCGCCAGAUGAUUUUGGUUUACCCUUCCCACACAGAGCUUUGUGCAUCAACCACCGGGGACCAUUGCCUGCUCGUGUUGCGCACACAUUCGGCAGCUGUUUGCCCCCAAAAUGCACUAAAUCCAUCCUUUCCUGGGCAUAUCCCGCACACCCUUCUCUCUUCUCAUUUCUCUGCCCCAAAAUUCCAACACAGUCAGAGCAGCAAACCCAUGGAACAGAGGAGUUAAGAGUUACAGGCAAAAUCAUUGCGGGGUUGUUGGAAUUAUCCUAAUUAACCAUUUCCCGGCUGGGGAGCUGGGCUUGAGACCCUGCAAGGGUUAAGGCGGGCUGGCUGGGCUGGAGAGGUGCAGGAAAGGCUCCUCCAGGUGGGCACAUCCACAACCUUAUGGAUGCCAUGAUCCCGAGGAUCCGAGGGACUCCCCAGGUGCUUUUGAGUUUAUCCAUCUCCGAUCCCAGCCCCUGCUCUCCUCCCUUUGCCUGUUUAUCUCCAAUCUGUCUAUUUAGAUUCCUCCUAAACAAGAUGGGAAUAUCUCGGUGCCUGUUGGUGAGACUAUUCCGCAUCCAUCUGUUAUUUACAUCGUUCGUUUUCCUGAGGUGUCUCCAACAAACCCUGGCUGGGUGCUCUGUAUGCGUUAUUAAUAAAACAGCUGUAAAAAUA